CCUGGCUCCGUCGAACGCUGGCGGCGCGCCUAACACAUGCAAGUCGAACGAGCGAGAGAGAGCUUGCUUUCUCAAGCGAGUGGCGAACGGGUGAGUAACGCGUGAGGAACCUGCCUCAAAGAGGGGGACAACAGUUGGAAACGACUGCUAAUACCGCAUAAGCCCACGGUGCCGCAUGGCACAGGGGGAAAAGGAGCAAUCCGCUUUGAGAUGGCCUCGCGUCCGAUUAGCUAGUUGGUGAGGUAACGGCCCACCAAGGCGACGAUCGGUAGCCGGACUGAGAGGUUGAACGGCCACAUUGGGACUGAGACACGGCCCAGACUCCUACGGGAGGCAGCAGUGGGGAAUAUUGCACAAUGGGGGAAACCCUGAUGCAGCGACGCCGCGUGGAGGAAGAAGGUCUUCGGAUUGUAAACUCCUGUUGUUGAGGAAGAUAAUGACGGUACUCAACAAGGAAGUGACGGCUAACUACGUGCCAGCAGCCGCGGUAAAACGUAGGUCACAAGCGUUGUCCGGAAUUACUGGGUGUAAAGGGAGCGCAGGCGGGAAGACAAGUUGGAAGUGAAAUCUAUGGGCUCAACCCAUAAACUGCUUUCAAAACUGUUUUUCUUGAGUAGUGCAGAGGUAGGCGGAAUUCCCGGUGUAGCGGUGGAAUGCGUAGAUAUCGGGAGGAACACCAGUGGCGAAGGCGGCCUACUGGGCACCAACUGACGCUGAGGCUCGAAAGUGUGGGUAGCAAACAGGAUUAGAUACCCUGGUAGUCCACACCGUAAACGAUGAUUACUAGGUGUUGGAGGAUUGACCCCUUCAGUGCCGCAGUUAACACAAUAAGUAAUCCACCUGGGGAGUACGACCGCAAGGUUGAAACUCAAAGGAAUUGACGGGGGCCCGCACAAGCAGUGGAGUAUGUGGUUUAAUUCGACGCAACGCGAAGAACCUUACCAAGUCUUGACAUCCCUUGACGGACAUAGAAAUAUGUUUUCUCUUCGGAGCAAGGAGACAGGUGGUGCAUGGUUGUCGUCAGCUCGUGUCGUGAGAUGUUGGGUUAAGUCCCGCAACGAGCGCAACCCUUAUGGUCAGUUACUACGCAAGAGGACUCUGGCCAGACUGCCGUUGACAAAACGGAGGAAGGUGGGGAUGACGUCAAAUCAUCAUGCCCUUUAUGACUUGGGCUACACACGUACUACAAUGGCGUUAAACAAAGAGAAGCAAGACCGCGAGGUGGAGCAAAACUCAGAAACAACGUCCCAGUUCGGACUGCAGGCUGCAACUCGCCUGCACGAAGUCGGAAUUGCUAGUAAUCGCAGAUCAGCAUGCUGCGGUGAAUACGUUCCCGGGCCUUGUACACACCGCCCG
rnacentral:rRNA from 1 species